UGUUACCAUAUAUGGCGAUAAGAAAUGAAUCAUUUGCAUAUGAAUAUGGUAAAAGCUUUCCAUUUAAUAGCGUGUUUACGUUAAGUGUACUGUGUAUUGAAGCAUUCUGACCUCACCUUUUAUUAUAGAUCACAGGUAAUUUUACAACUCGUUAGUAUUGUAUUUGAUGUUAAACCUCCAGGUAUAUAAACUUUUUUUACUUAACAAAUAGUAUACAUUCUUAUAAUAGGAGUGCACACAAGUUUAAGUUACACAUAAAUAAAAUAUGGAUUUUUAAAUUACAUCCAAACGACGAUACACAAUUAAAAUACAACAUAACAAAGGGAGUUUCCUUUUAAAAUCCCGUUCUUUUAUUUUCCCUUCCUUUUAAAAAAUUAAAUAGGUUGAUUAAUUUACUUGUGAAUUUAGAAUGUAACAUUUGAAAUGUGACCAUGUUUUAUAAAACAUUCACGCUAUUAUCACAAAAGUAUACGUAGUAUAAAAGGAACGUUAAACUAGCAGUUGAGAAACCGGCGAUCCUCCGAAAAAACCUUGGGAGGCGGAAGAAUGGAAGGAACAUCACUUGACCGAAAGUCGAUACUGGAAGUAAAUGGAAUUAAAUGGAGCGGAAUUCAGAUUUUUUUCGAACGGGAUUUAGAAUGAAUGUCUCUCUUGUUUUUAUCUUUCUAAAGUAUGGACUUUUUUGGUGCAAAAUGUUUCAAGAAAUUGAUGUGAAAAUGUCGGUUCAUCACACUAAUGGCUUUUGAAUCAAUGAAAAUGUCGGAUUACACUUCCUUAAGCAAAACGAAAAUGUCUUAUAAGCAAAAACGAAAAUGUAGAACUGCACUUCUGCAAAAUGAAAAUUUAGAAGCUACAAACUUUAUCAGAUACUUACGCUGAAGAAGCAAUUAUUUUCUUUUGUUGAAAUGUAUACAAAAUAUCAUUUGUAUUCAUAUAUUUGAGCAGUCGGUUUGGUAUCGGAUUAGUGAAAAUUCUUCCCAAAAAUGUUAUACGAAUUUUAAAGUAAGAUUAUUAUUUGCCGUUCAUUUUUGUGCUCAAACAUUUGAAAAACACUUUUAAGAACAUUUUUUAAGAACAUUUGUUUAUAUUUAUUUUUAGGCUUAUCAAAGGUAUCUCCUGUUUUCUUCACUGAUAGUCUAUGGAAAUUAAAAAGAAUAUGGAAGGAAAAUUAAAAAAAGAAUAUGGAAGGAAAAUUAAAAAAAAAGAAUAUGGAGAUGUAGUUUGAUGCACAUUUAACAGCUUUCUACCAAAAACUUGAGUCUCAAAACCUACCGGUUAUCAUGCAGCCUAUAACAACGAACAAAAACCAUUAUGUAUAAUGAGCAUUAUAAGAUCGUGUGGAUGACAAAAAUAUGAAACAAUUCAAAAAGAAAACCGACAUCAUGGUUUAAAACCAAUGCCAAUGAUCAUUUUCAACACCUAUUUA
rnacentral:lncRNA from 1 species